rnacentral:rRNA from 1 species
AGCAGCCGCGGUAAUUCCAGCUCCAAUAGCGUAUAUUAAAGUUGUUGCAGUUAAAAAGCUCGUAGUUGAAUUUCGGAAUCUGUCCAUCGGUCGGGCUUCACUGUCCGUACUGGUGUGGUGGGUUCUUACCUUCUGAAUAACCAGCAUGCCAUUCACUUGGUGCGCUGGGGAAGCAGGACUAUUACCUUGAAAAAAUUAGAGUGCUCAAAGCAGGCUAGUGCCUGAAUACAUUAGCAUGGAAUAAUAAAAUAGGACGGCAUGGUUCUAUUUUGUUGGUUUCUAGGAUCACCGUAAUGAUUAAUAGGGAUAGUUGGGGGCAUUAGUAUUCAAUUGUCAGAGGUGAAAUUCUUGGAUUUAUUGAAGACUAAACUUCUGCGAAAGCAUUUGCCAAGGAUGUUUUCAUUAAUCAAGAACGAAAGUUAGGGGAUCGAAGACGAUCAGAUACCGUCGUAGUCUUAACCAUAAACUAUGCCGACUAGGGAUCGGACGAUGUUAAUUUUUUAAUUGACUCGUUC